rnacentral:rRNA from 2 species
GCAGUCGAGCGACUGAUUAGAAGCUUGCUUCUAUGACGUUAGCGGCGGACGGGUGAGUAACACGUGGGCAACCUGCCUGUAAGACUGGGAUAACUCCGGGAAACCGGAGCUAAUACCGGAUAACAUUUUUUCUUGCAUAAGAGAAAAUUGAAAGAUGGUUUCGGCUAUCACUUACAGAUGGGCCCGCGGUGCAUUAGCUAGUUGGUGAGGUAACGGCUCACCAAGGCAACGAUGCAUAGCCGACCUGAGAGGGUGAUCGGCCACACUGGGACUGAGACACGGCCCAGACUCCUACGGGAGGCAGCAGUAGGGAAUCUUCCGCAAUGGACGAAAGUCUGACGGAGCAACGCCGCGUGAGUGAUGAAGGCUUUCGGGUCGUAAAACUCUGUUGUUAGGGAAGAACAAGUACAAGAGUAACUGCUUGUACCUUGACGGUACCUAACCAGAAAGCCACGGCUAACUACGUGCCAGCAGCCGCGGUAAUACGUAGGUGGCAAGCGUUAUCCGGAAUUAUUGGGCGUAAAGCGCGCGCAGGCGGUUUCUUAAGUCUGAUGUGAAAGCCCACGGCUCAACCGUGGAGGGUCAUUGGAAACUGGGGAACUUGAGUGCAGAAGAGAAAAGCGGAAUUCCACGUGUAGCGGUGAAAUGCGUAGAGAUGUGGAGGAACACCAGUGGCGAAAGCGGCUUUUUGGUCUGUAACUGACGCUGAGCGCGAAAGCGUGGGGAGCAACAGAUUAGAUACCCUGGUAGUCCACGCCGUA